AAUUUUCGGCAAUGGAGGAAACUCUGACCGAGCAAUGCCGCGUGAAUGAUGAAGGUCUUCGGAUCGUAAAGUUCUGUUAUCAGGAAAGAACAGUACUAAUAGGAAAUGAUUAGUAUUUGACGUUACCGACAGAAUAAGCACCGGCUAACUUCGUGCCAGCAGCCGCGGUAAUACGAAGGGUGCAAGCGUUAAUCGGAAUUACUGGGCGUAAAGCGCGCGUAGGUGGUUUGUUAAGUUGGAAGUGAAAGCCCCGGGCUCAACCUGGGAACUGCUUUCAAAACUGGCAAGCUAGAGUAUGGCAGAGGGUAGUGGAAUUUCCUGUGUAGCGGUGAAAUGCGUAGAUAUAGGAAGGAACACCAGUGGCGAAGGCGACUACCUGGACUGAUACUGACACUGAGGUGCGAAAGCGUGGGGAGCAAACAGG
rnacentral:rRNA from 1 species